rnacentral:rRNA from 1 species
AGCGAACGCUGGCGGCAGGCCUAACACAUGCAAGUCGAGCGCCCAGCAAUGGGAGCGGCAGACGGGUGAGUAACGCGUGGGGAUCUGCCCAAUGGUACGGAAUAACCCAGGGAAACUUGGAUUAAUACCGUAUGUGCCCUUCGGGGGAAAGAUUUAUCGCCAUUGGAUGAACCCGCGUCGGAUCAGCUAGUUGGUGAGGUAAAGGCUCACCAAGGCGACGAUCCGUAGCUGGUCUGAGAGGAUGAUCAGCCACACUGGGACUGAGACACGGCCCAGACUCCUACGGGAGGCAGCAGUGGGGAAGAUUGGACAAUGGGGGCAAGCCUGAUCCAGCCAUGCCGCGUGAGUGAUGAAGGCCUUAGGGUUGUAAAGCUCUUUCGCCGGUGAAGAUAGUGACGGUAACCGGAGAAGAAGCCCCGGCUAACUUCGUGCCAGCAGCCGCCGUAAAAC